GGGUGAGUAAUACAUCGGAACAUGUCCUGUAGUGGGGGAUAGCCCGGCGAAAGCCGGAUUAAUACCGCAUACGAUCUACGGAUGAAAGCGGGGGACCUUCGGGCCUCGCGCUAUAGGGUUGGCCGAUGGCUGAUUAGCUAGUUGGUGGGGUAAAGGCCUACCAAGGCGACGAUCAGUAGCUGGUCUGAGAGGACGACCAGCCACACUGGGACUGAGACACGGCCCAGACUCCUACGGGAGGCAGCAGUGGGGAAUUUUGGACAAUGGGCGAAAGCCUGAUCCAGCAAUGCCGCGUGUGUGAAGAAGGCCUUCGGGUUGUAAAGCACUUUUGUCCGGAAAGAAAUCCUUGGCUCUAAUACAGCCGGGGGAUGACGGUACCGGAAGAAUAAGCACCGGCUAACUACGUGCCAGCAGCCGCGGUAAUACGUAGGGUGCGAGCGUUAAUCGGAAUUACUGGGCGUAAAGCGUGCGCAGGCGGUUUGCUAAGACCGAUGUGAAAUCCCCGGGCUCAACCUGGGAACUGCAUUGGUGACUGGCAGGCUAGAGUAUGGCAGAGGGGGGUAGAAUUCCACGUGUAGCAGUGAAAUGCGUAGAGAUGUGGAGGAAUACCGAUGGCGAA
rnacentral:rRNA from 1 species